CUCCUCUCCCCUCACAGUCCUCUCACCAUCCUGGUCACAAAAUGCUGAUCCAGGUCCAGCUGCUGUGGUUGCUCUCAGCUCUCACAGGUUCUGAGGGUGUGGUGUGGCUGGUGGAGUCCGGAGGAGGCGUGAAAUACUCUGGGGAAUCUCUGCGUCUCUCAUGCCAGGCUUCAGGAUUUACCUUUGGGGACUACUGGAUGGGUUGGUACCAGGAGGCUAAAGGAAAGUCCCCUGAGUUUGUGUCCAGCAUCAGUUACUGGGCUGGCAGUGAGAAAAGGUAUGCGGAUGAAGUGAAGGGAUGAUUCUCCAUCUCCAGAGACAGUGCUAACAGCCGGUUGUACCUGCAAGUUGUACUUGUACCUAAGUGGAGGACACCUCCUGGUAUAUCUGUGCAAAAGCACAGUGAGGAAAAGUGAGUGAGGGCUCAGACAGAAACCUCUCGGGCUCCUCCUGAAUCAAGUCCCAGGAACUACUUCGAGAAGCAGCGUGGCUCAGUGGAAAGAGCACGGGCUUUGGAGUCAGAGGUCAUGGGUUCGAAUCCCG